rnacentral:tRNA from 3 species
GGGCCCGUAGUCUAGUGGUAAAAUACCUCGCUUGCACCGAGGAGCCCCGUGUUCGAUUCACGGCGGGUCCA